rnacentral:rRNA from 1 species
UACGUAGGGAGCUAGCGUUGUCCGGAAUCAUUGGGCGUAAAGGGUGCGUAGGCGGGUCUUUAAGUCAGGGGUGAAAUCCUGGAGCUCAACUCCAGAACUGCCUUUGAUACUGAAGAUCUUGAGUCCGGGAGAGGUGAGUGGAACUGCGAGUGUAGAGGUGAAAUUCGUAGAUAUUCGCAAGAACACCAGUGGCGAAGGCGGCUCACUGGCCCGGUACUGACGCUGAGGCACGAAAGCGUGGGGAGCAAACAGG